AAAGGUGAAAAGCACCCCGGGAGGGGAGUGAAACAGUACCUGAAACCGUGCGCCCACGAGCAGUCGGAGCAACUUUCAGUUGUGACGGCGUGCCUUUUGUAGAAUGAGCCAGCGAGUCGCUGGCGCGGGGCGAGGUUAACCGAAAGGGAGCCGAAGCGAAAGCGAGCCUUAACAGGGCGACUUGAGUCCCGCGCCGCGGACGCGAAGCCGGGUGAGCUAUCCGUGGGCAGGCUGAAGCGGGGGUAAGACCCCGUGGAGGGCCGAACGCACGUCGGUUGAAAACGGCGGCGAUGACCUGCGGAUAGGGGUGAAAGGCCAAUCAAACCCGGAGAUAUCUCGUUCUCCCCGAAAUAGCUUUAGGGCUAGCGUCGCGCGUUCACCGCCGGAGGUAGAGCACCGGAUGGACGAGGGGGCUUCGCCGCCUACCGAAUCCAACCGAACUCCGAAUGCCGGCGGCCCAGAGCGCGGCAGUCAGAGCAUGUGGGCUAAGCUGUGUGCUCGAGAGGGAAACAGCCCGGACCGCCCGCUAAGGUCCCCAAGUUCCAGCCGAGUGGCAAAGGAUGUGCGUCCGCCCAGACAACCAGGAUGUUGGCUUAGAAGCAGCCAUGCAUUCAAAGAGUGCGUAACAGCUCACUGGUCGAGUGGACAUGCGCCGACAAUACACGGGGCUAAGCUGGACACCGAAGCGGCGGGAUUUUAAUUCAUUAGAAUCGGUAGGGGAGCUUCCCAUGGGCGGAGAAGCCGGAGGGCGACCGACGGUGGAGCGCAUGGGAGUGAGAAUGCUGGCAUGAGUAGCGAGAGACGAGAGAGUAACUCGUCCGCCGUGAACCCGAGGUUUCCUGGGCAAGGCUAAUCCUCCCAGGGUCAGUCGGGGGCUAAGGCGAGGCCGGUAGGCGUAGCCGACGCGCAGCAGGCAGACAUUCCUGCACCGCGCACGCGGCGCUACGACCGACGGGGCGACGGAUGGGGGUGGCUCGGCGGGGUUCUGGACGUCCCCGUGAUGGAGCGCGGCCCGCGGACCAGGGAAAUCCGGUCCGCAGAAGGGCGAGGCUCCGGACGAAGCACUUAAGCGAAGCGAGUGAGCCCGAGGUCCCUAGAAAAACCCCUAGGCAGGCGCGUGCGCGCCCGUACCGCAAACCGACACAGGUGGGUGGGUAGAACAUACCGAGGCGAUCGGGUCAACCAUGGUCAAGGAACUCGGCACAAUGGCCCCGUAACUUCGGGAGAAGGGGUGCCCGCGCGUACGUGAACGGACUUGCUCCGGGAGCGGAGGCGGGCCGCAGUGGAGAGGCCCAAGCGACUGUUUACCAAAAACACAGGACUCUGCAGAAGCCGCAAGGCGACGUAUAGGGUCUGACGCCUGCCCGGUGCCGGAAGGUCACGCGGAGGAGUUAGCUUUCGAGCGAAGCCCCGAAGCCAAGCCCCGGUAAACGGCGGCCGUAACUAUAACGGUCCUAAGGUAGCGAAAUUCCUUGUCGGGUAAGUUCCGACCUGCACGAAAGGCGCAACGACUUGGGCGCUGUCUCGACCAUGGACCCGGUGAAAUUGCACUGGUCGUGAAGAUGCGACUUACCCGCGGAAGGACGGAAAGACCCCGUGAACCUUCACUGCAGCUUGGCAUUGGCCGCUGGUCCCGCGUGUAGAGGAUAGGCAGGAGGCAUCGAUCCGGAGGCGCCAGCCCCCGGGGAGCCGCCCUUGGAAUACUGCCCUCGCGCGACCGGCGUCCUAACCCGAGGCCGUCAACCGGCUCGGGGACCGUGCCAGGCGGGCAGUUUGACUGGGGCGGUCGCCUCCUAAAGGGUAACGGAGGCGCGCGAAGGUCCGCUCGGGACGGUCGGCAACCGUCCUUUUGAAUGCAAGAGUACAAGCGGGCUUGACUGCGAGGCCCACAAGCCGAGCAGGUGCGAAAGCAGGCUCUAGUGAUCCGGCGGCCCCGAGUGGGUGGGCCGUCGCUCAACGGAUAAAAGGUACUCCGGGGAUAACAGGCUGAUCUUGCCCAAGAGUCCACAUCGACGGCAAGGUUUGGCACCUCGAUGUCGGCUCAUCGCAUCCUGGGGCUGGAGCAGGUCCCAAGGGUACGGCUGUUCGCCGUUUAAAGCGGUACGCGAGCUGGGUUCAGAACGUCGUGAGACAGUUCGGUCCCUAUCCUCCGUGGGCGCAGGAGAAUCGAUGGAGGCUGCCCCCAGUACGAGAGGACCGGGGUGGACGCACCUCCGGUGAACCGGUUGUCGACCAACGGCACGGCCGGGUAGCCGCGUGCGGCGCGGAUAACCGCUGAAGGCAUCUAAGCGGGAAGCCGUUCCAGGGAUUAGUUCUCCUUCCGGUAAGGGCCCAGGUAGACUACCUGGUCGAUAGACGGCAGGUGCAAGGGCGGCGACGUCCUCAGCCGAGCCGCACUAAUCGCCCGAGCUCUUCCGGAA
rnacentral:rRNA from 1 species